UACGUAGGGUGCGAGCGUUAAUCGGAAUUACUGGGCGUAAAGCGUGCGCAGGCGGUUUUGUAAGCCAGAUGUGAAAUCCCCGGGCUUAACCUGGGAAUGGCAUUUGGGACUGCAAGGCUUGAGUGUGGCAGAGGAGACUGGAAUUCCUGGUGUAGCAGUGAAAUGCGUAGAUAUCAGGAGGAACACCGAUGGCGAAGGCAGGUCUCUGGGCCGAAACUGACGCUGAGGAGCGAAAGCGUGGGGAGCAAACAGG
rnacentral:rRNA from 1 species